ensembl:lncRNA
UCUCUCUCUGGGGAUUACUCCUUGUGAGUUUUCUUGUGAGCCUAUGAUAUUGAAGCAAACCUUUAGAAAGAACAGCAUGUAUGAAAUGAUGCAUUGAGUAGUGGACAAGCCCCUCUUGCCUCAUUUAUCACUGGGACAACAGUAAGGGCAGGUGUUGUCCUUCCAGCUUCUGCCUGCAUUCUCACGAAUGCCUUGAUCCAACAGAAAUUCCUGCUACUCAACAUUGUGAGCCAUUAGGCGAGGUAUCUGACUCAGUCUGUUAAACCCAAGGGAUGAUUUUUCCAUUGACUUCAACAGCUCUGCAUCUGGCCUGAGGCAGCUGCCUGGAACUGUAAAGCUACUCCAUAUAAAGGUGAAGAUUUUGUUUCUUGGACAUCCCUUCUGCCUGGAACUUUCACUAGCCUUUGGCAUAAAGCAAAAUAAGAUAAAACAUAACAAAAACACCUGUAUGAACUUACUGGCUUUUGUGUUGAGUCUGGUGAAGACGUAUUUUUCUGUCAAAUAAGGUCUGCUGCCAGUGGGGAAAAUGUGAAUUAAGCCAUAUUUGCACACUUCUGAAUUGUUUUGAAACUCAGACCGUGACACUAAUGGCUGUGAUACAGAAAAAAGAGGUAUUGCUACUGUGUACAUCAGCAGAACUGAACCUGCUUAGCAUUUCCCCACCAAAACCUGGCAGCUAGAAUGAAUAGCUUUUCUGUUUGGAAAAUGCCUGGUGCAAAAUGCAGUCAUUUCACACACCAGCAACAGGCAUGCUUUCUCCUCUCCUCUAGUGAAAUUCUUACCUAUGCAUACCUAAGAGCUACCACAUUAGAUAGAUACAUUAACCACUUACUGAGGUGCAGGCAUGUAAACUAUCAGUAGGCACAAACUGGCUGAACCGAUGCUUUUUUUGACAACUGGGAGACUGCCUGAUCAUGGGAGGAGAAAGGCUCUGGAGCAGCUCUUUGGCUGGAGGCCAGAAGUCUGACUUUCAAGCAUCUGGGGGGAGUUGUUUCUCUGCUCUUUCAAUCCGUCUGUCAAGAAUUACUGUUUGCUAACAAGCUUAAUGUCUGUAACUGGACUUGCACAUGUUUUCAGGGUUGCGCUUGUUACUGCCAUAAUGGAACCUUUCCAAACAUCACGUGAGCUCAAAUGAAGCGUUUGCAUCUUCAAGGAGUUUACACAAUGGAAAACUUCACCCAUGCUGGCAGGAAGCGUACCUGGAUAGGUACAUUUCACAAGGUUUGAACAUCGUUUAUUUUCCAUUCCAAGUGAAAUAUAUAGGCAUCUGUCCCACAGCCUUUCAGAUGUAUUCAGUGCCUUUCAUGGUCCUGAAAGAAUGAAAUUACUCAAUAUCAGCAAUUUCUGUGCCAUAAAGUUGUGGCUUUUUUUUUCCCGUUAUAUGUAUUAAAAGGAAGAAGCAAAAGGACCCACUUCAGUAAGAGAAUGUGGAUCCUAUUCUCAACAGGAGAAUAACAAAGAGGACAGUGCAGCCUCUGGACUUGAAGCGCUGUAUGCUGUGUGUAAUAGCUAAAGAGAAAGAAUAACACAAGGUGUGCCUGGGCCUCACCCAGAGCCCAGCAAAGUAAGUAGAAACUCUGGCCGCAAUGGACACAUACCUCGAGUCUUCCAUCUGCAACAACAUAAAACUUAUAAAGGGAAAAGGGCAACGAGUGCUGGAGUAUCUCUGCUAAUCCCUUCUGCCCCACAGGAGGUUUAUGUCAGUAUCAACGUUACGUGUCUUUGUCUGUGUGAAGCGGAAGCUUAGUGAUUUCUUAACUCUCUGCUUCUCCAGUGGUUUGGGUGUUAGAUUCACUCGUUCAUCACAUGGUAAUCAGCUGACAUUCACAAGCCGGCCCUCAACUGCAGUAAGCCUGGGAGCUAGACCCACAGCUGGAUCCUCUCAUUUUCCCUGAAGCUGCAUGGAACAGACAAAUCAACAGCAGGAAAUUUACAUUUAGUACUAGUGAUGAAUGU